rnacentral:rRNA from 1 species
GACGAAUGCUGGCGGCGUGCUUAACACAUGCCAGUCGAACGGAAAGGCCCUGCUUGCAGGGUGCUCGAGUGGCGAACGGGUGAGUAACACGUGGGUGAUCUGCCCCUUACUUUGGGAUAAGCCUGGGAAACUGGGUCUAAUACUGGAUAGGACCAUGCUGUAGGUGGUGUGGUGGAAAGAUUAGUUUCGGUAAGGGAUGAGCUCGCGGCCUAUCAGCUUGUUGGUGGGGUAAUGGUCUACCAAGGCGUCGACGGGUAGCCGGCCUGAGAGGGUGGACGGCCACAUUGGGACUGAGAUACGGCCCAGACUCCUACGGGAGGCAGCAGUGGGGAAUAUUGCACAAUGGGCGCAAGCCUGAUGCAGCGACGCCGCGUGGGGGAUGACGGCCUUCGGGUUGUAAACUCCUUUCAGCCAUGACGAAGCCUUCGGGUGACGGUAGUGGUAGAAGAAGCACCGGCUAACUACGUG